UACGAAGGGGGCUAGCGUUGUUCGGAAUUACUGGGCGUAAAGGGCGCGUAGGCGGCGCAACAAGUCACUUGUGAAAUCUCCGGGCUUAACCCGGAGCGGCCAAGUGAUACUGUCGUGCUAGAGUGCGGAAGGGGCUACUGGAAUUCUCGGUGUAGCGGUGAAAUGCGUAGAUAUCGAGAGGAACACCUGCGGCGAAGGCGGGUAGCUGGGCCGACACUGACGCUGAAGCGCGAAAGCCAGGGGAGCGAACGGG
rnacentral:rRNA from 1 species